rnacentral:rRNA from 1 species
CAUGCGCGUGUAUGAGAGCUCGGGUGUAAGUACUUCAGCAGUGAGGAGGAGGUAUCGUAUAGCGGUAUCUUUGACGUCAGCUGCAGAGAAGCACCGGCUAACUCCGUGCCAGCAGCCGCGGUAAUACGGAGGGUGCGAGCGUUAAUCGGAAUUACUGGGCGUAAAGCGCAUGCAGGUGGUUUGUUAAGUCAGAUGUGAAAGCCCGGGGCUCAACCUCGGAAUUGCAUUUGAAACUGGCAGGCUAGAGUACUGUAGAGGGGGGUAGAAUUUCAGGUGUAGCGGUGAAAUGCGUAGAGAUCUGAAGGAAUACCGGUGGCGAAGGCGGCCCCCCGGACAGAUACUGACACUCAGAUGCGAAAGCGUGGGGAGCAAACAGGAUUAGAUACCCUGGUAGUCCACGCCGUAAACGAUGUCUACUUGGAGGUUGUGGCCCUGAGCCGUGGCUUUCGGAGCUAACGCGUUAAGUAGACCGCCUGGGGAGUACGGUCGCAAGAUUAAAACUCAAAUGAAUUGACGGGGGCCCGCACAAGCGGUGGAGCAUGUGGUUUAAUUCGAUGCAACGCGAAGAACCUUACCUACUCUUGACAUCCAGAGAACUUAGCAGAGAUGCUUUGGUGCCUUCGGGAACUCUGAGACAGGUGCUGCAUGGCUGUCGUCAGCUCGUGUUGUGAAAUGUUGGGUUAAGUCCCGCAACGAGCGCAACCCUUAUCCUUGUUUGCCAGCGAGUAAUGUCGGGAACUCCAGGGAGACUGCCGGUGAUAAACCGGAGGAAGGUGGGGACGACGUCAAGUCAUCAUGGCCCUUACGAGUAGGGCUACACACGUGCUACAAUGGCGCAUACAGAGGGCGGCCAACUUGCGAAAGUGAGCGAAUCCCAAAAAGUGCGUCGUAGUCCGGAUUGGAGUCUGCAACUCGACUCCAUGAAGUCGGAAUCGCUAGUAAUCGUGAAUCAGAAUGUCACGGUGAAUACGUUCCCGGGCCUUGUACUACUACGCAGGCU